rnacentral:rRNA from 1 species
UACGGGGGGGGCAAGCGUUGUUCGGAAUUACUGGGCGUAAAGGGCUCGUAGGCGGCCAACUAAGUCGGACGUGAAAUCCCUCGGCUUAACCGGGGAACUGCGUCCGAUACUGGAUGGCUUGAGGUUGGGAGAGGGAUGCGGAAUUCCAGGUGUAGCGGUGAAAUGCGUAGAUAUCUGGAGGAACACCGGUGGCGAAGGCGGCAUCCUGGACCAAUUCUGACGCUGAGUGAGCGAAAGCCAGGGGAGCAAACAGG